rnacentral:lncRNA from 1 species
UCUUUUUUUUUUUGUUAACUUAGCUAUUAGCUUGGUUAUUAAUUAAAUACCACUCAAAUAUGACGUAGAGUAUAUGCAAGACAUGAUAGUCAAAUCAUGAAUAUGAGCGUAACUAUUGAAUCAACGAGUUAGAAAAGAUAAGCCUUCCUAAAUUUUAUUAAGGUUAAAUUAUUAUUUGGGGCUUGAACUUGACAACUUUUCUCAUAUUAGGGUUUGAAUUUUUUUUGUCCAAGUUAGGUCCUGAACUUGUCAAUUGUUCCCACAUUGGGCCUUAAACUUUAAGGUUUUCAAAGACUAAUUUGGAUAAUAAAAAAAAGCUUAAGUCCCAAUGUUGGGAUAAUUGCCAAGUUCAGGGCAUAACUUGAACUAAAAAAAAGUUCAAACUCCAAUAUAAGAAAAGUUAUCAAAUUCAGGCCUCAAAAAAUGAUUUAACCAAAUUUUAUUGUCACUAUUUUUUCUUAACACGUCAAUUUUAAGUUGUUCAUGCAGUAACUACAUGUAUGUUUACAAUUUGAUCAUCACAACCCGCCCAUUAGCUUGAUUGUUAAGUCAAAUGCAAACUCUAAUCAGAUGUGUAGAAUAUUUAAAAAACACCAUAAUCAAAUUAUAGACACAUGUGUACUUAUUGGGUUGACAACUUGAAUCUAAGGUGUUCAAAAGAAAUAACCAUUCUAAUUGUCACUUUUUUUAACACAUCAAGUUCAAGUUGUCCAUACAAUAACUACAUACAUGUUUACAAUUUGAUCCUUGUAUUUUAAAUAGAUUGAGAUCCGAGUUUAGCUCCUGUUCAUUAUUUUUGUGUCCGUUAUUAAGCAAUAUAAGUUUAACCACUAUUAAUCAGUCUAACAUUCACAAUUCAAUAGUGGAUACUUCACAUUUGAAUGGUGAUAAUCAGUGUAUUGAAAAUUUAUUGGAUGAAGAAGUACUAAAUUGAGUUUUAAAUUGUUAAAAUAAAAUCCAUUAUUUUUUAUCAAUUACUUUUCAAUAUACUAAUCAUCACCAAUCAUGUGUGUAGGGCUCACAAAUAAAAUAUGUAAAUCAGAUUUACGAAUGAUAAUUAAACUUGUAUUAAAUAGUAAUGGAUAAAAAAUAAUGGAGAGGAGCUUGACCCGUUUUGAAUAUAAUUGCCUUUGCCUCGUAUUUAAAUCAACAUUUAAUACCUAAAUUAAUAAUUAAAUUAAUGUAAAAAUCAGAUUGAUGUAAUACUUAUAUGGAAUAGUGUGUUAUUGGUGACACAUAACCAAGGCCAAUAAGCUCAAUUAGGAGGGUAGUCAAGGCAUAAUUUUUUAAUAAAUGUUUUGGAGCAUGAUUUUAGAGAUUAAUUUAUCUGUUUUAAUUGAGUUUUUAAAAUACCAUUAUCGAAUCAAUCAGGUUUUUCUGUCAACCUACCCAUUAGUUUGGUUGUCAAAUUAAAUGUUAGCUCAAAUCUAUAGUUGAGCAUAUUUAUAAAUACGUGUGUAUUGUAUGAACAACUUGAAUCUAAGUUAUUUAGAAAAAAGAAUAGUCACUUCUAAAUUCUAUUUUCCCUGUUUGUUUUUCUAACAUAUCAGAUUCAAAUUGCUUAUGAGAUAAAUAUGUACACACAUGUUUAAAAUUUGAUUCCCGUGUUUUAAAUAUACUGGACAUCAUAUUCAACUUAAUAUUUAACGACUAAAUUGACUGCUAAACUAACAAAAUAUGCAUACCAAACUUAAUUAAAAUAUUUUAAAGAAGGAUAUAUAGUUUAAAUACAUUUAAUGCAAUUAACCAUAAAUAUAUAUUAGUCUUUUAGGAUGUUUGGGGAUGAAGGUUUUGUUAGUUAAUUUAUAUCCAUCAACAACACCUUUAUCCCAAAAAAUUGAAAAGGCUAAAAUAAUAUUCCUUUUUAACCUUAUAUUAAAGAGGGAUAGUUUAAAUAUGUUUAAUGCAAUUAAGAUGGAUGAUUAAUCUUUCAUGUAGGCUUUUCUUGAUAGCAUCUCUUCUUUUCUUCCUGUGUUUAUUGGGUUUAAUUUUGAUAAAUUAUUAAAUAAGAUGUCAUUAAUUUUGAGUUUAUUAUUUGAUUUUUGAUUCGGUGCAAAAGUAAAAUCCAAAAAAUUAAAAAGAGUCGAAGAUGUGGGCUACUGUAAAAGUUUUGGGCCAAAAAACAAAGUUGAUAAAUAAUUAUCUAUUUUUGGGAUUUAUAUGUAAAAGUAACAUUUUUAUUUUUUUUAUUAAAAUAAUAUUUUAAUUACCUAUUAUUUUAUUUUAGGAUAAUACUUUUAAUUCUAGUAGUUUAUUUUUUAUUUUAUUUUAUUUUUAAAUAACUCCUCUUAGAUUAAUGAGUGUGCGCGCGCGCGCGCGCUGUGGAGGGGCAGAAGGAGAAGGGGGAGCCCCUGUACCUUGAAUUCAAUUUCUUCGUUCUGUUUUUGGUUUUUUUUGGCCUGUGCAACAUUGCGCAUUUUCCUUUCAAUUUUUUUUUUAGUUUUAAUUAAUAUUUGUUAAAAUCUUCAUUGAAUAGGCUUAUUUUCAUUAGUAGCUAAAUUUCCAUUUAAUUUUAGGUCGAUAAAUAAUUCUGUCAAACUCUCACUUGAAAACUUUCAUUACAGUAUUUGUUGUUUCUCCGUUUUAGGAGAUAAACAUCAUCGUCUCACAAAAUUGUAUUGACACUAAGUCAAAAGAGCUUGUUGGUUUGGUGUUGAUAGACAUACAGUUGGAAGUACCGAAUCAACCAUUUAUCAUAUUCGGUCUACCGAAGAAUACAUUGGCGUGUCCAAAUAAAUAGUUGGCCGGAUCUAUCAAGGGAAAUAGCAAUCUGAUCUAAACAAUCCACGUGAUUGAGACCGUUGGUUCGAAUGGAGCCCUUAUAGUUCACAAGACCACUGUAGAGAUAAAUCAUGAAUGCGUAUUUCGUGAUUGUUCUUUCGAUAAGGGUUAGUUGCUGGGCAUUCCUGAAAUUAAUCUAUACAUGGAAGAGUUGGUAGUUUGAAAUAUCCUCGACCACAAUAACUAACUUAUCGAUUGAAGGAAAAAAUUUGUUAUCAAGGACCGGUUCGAAACGAGAGCAAAAUUAAGCUUGAAGUUGGAAUUUCAUCAAAUUGUUUUAUUUAAUUUAAUUUCAUUUAUGCCUAUUUUCACUUUUAUUUUUAUUUCAAUUACUUAUACUUUUAUUAGUUUUAAAUCCCCUUUUUAUUUUUGCACAGACCGUCACAUGUCGUUGGCACAUUAGCUGCCUAGAUGUGCAACUUGAUUAAAUCGAAAUGAUAAUUUUAGAUAACUCAACCUCUAUAGGAUCAACCAUAUUCCCCAUACUGCUAUUUAUUUACCGUUUAAGUAGAACAAUAUUGUUUUUGGUGAAUUUGACACUCAUCACUGAUUAAUCUCCAAGAAAAUUAAUAUCGUGCCUUUGCUUAUGAUAGAAUAAGAUUUUUAUGCAAGAUUUUAAGUUUUUUUUGAUUGAAUGAUUUUAAGAUGUUAAUUUUAUAUAAGAUUGCUAACAUUCGGGUUGGUAAUAAUUGUUAGAGAUUGAUUAAUACAAAUUCUUAAACAAAUUAAGAUCUAUUGUUUUUAUAUUCUUAAAUUUCUUGAAUAUUGAUUAAAAUUUUAAUAUUUUUUUAAUUGUUGUUGUUAAUGCGAUUAUUGUGAGUUUUUGUUGAAUAUUUUCAUUUGUCACUUGACCGCAAAAAAGGUUGUACAUACACUUGAUUGCAAAAACAAAAAAGGUUGAGGGGCCAAAUUUAAUUAAAAUAAAUAAAUAUCAAAUUGACAAAAAAUAUAAAUGUUAAAAACUUAAUUUUUCAUAAUGCAUUUUUUAUGAUUAUAGAAUUACUAUCAAAUUUCAUUGAGAUUCUCCUUUCAUAAACAAAAUAGCAUCACCCUAUACCGAAAUUCUUUUAAUUCAUUAUUUCAAAUGGAUAAAUAUCAAAACUACACAUGAACUUUAGUUUGAUAUGCAAUGAUAUACAUGAAUUUAGAUUUUUUACGUUUUUAUACAUGAAAGUUCGAUUUGAUUUAUUUUCAUAUCGAAACAAUAUCAUUUUAUAUUAAUAAAUUGCAUACACAAGCAAUUAUAUUGUUUCGAUAUGAAAAUAAAUAUAUGUAUUCAUUUAUUUAAAUGUGUACAUAUAUGAACCACAACUCAAAUUUCAUAUAUAUAAUUACACCAAAUCAAAAUUCACAAAGUUAACGUAUAAACUUGAUAUUUAUCCCUUAUGUCAAAUCAACAAUAACACUUAAUUAAAAAGGUAUUGUUUUUACUAACAAGCAUCGUGAUAACUGUUGUUCCAAAUUUUAAUUUUAAUUUCAUAAACCAAAAAAUGUUAUUUUUUAACCUAUUUUAAUUUAUUUUAAAGUUUCGUUAAACUUUUGCCAGAUACAAUAAAUCUAUGACCGAAACUUAUUGCUUGGUGUCCAUUUUUAUGUAUUCUUUUCAGACUUCAAUCCAGCUACAUUAUUCCUGAAUUAGCUGGGUUUUCUUUUUCCAAUAAAAAAUAUAGUUUUUGAAAUCCAUGGGAGAUACAUUUACUAAGAAUCAAUAAAGAGUGUAUCGAAAAUAAAAAGUACUCGGGAAAUUAUUUUAUGGCCGAUUCUUACCGUAUUAUUUAUGGUAUCUCCUAAUAAUUUAAUGGCAUUUCAGUAAUUUUUUAUCUCGAACCUUGAACUCUGAAUCCAAAAUCUCGAAUCUUGAACCAUCAACCUCGAACUCAAGAUCCAAACCUUGAACCCUAGACUCAAACCCUAAAUUAUCGAACCUCAAAUCUAAACUCGGAGUUUUGGGUUUAGGGUUUGAUUUAAGGUCUGGGAAAAUUACUCAAACUAUAUACUAAUGACAUGAAAAAUAUUGUUAAAGCGUCACUAAAUAAUUAGAAAGAGGUCAUGAAUAAUAUGGCGGGAAAGGUCCAUAAAAUAAUUUUUCUAAAAUAUAAUAUUAUAUGAAGUAGAUUUAACUAUGAGAAAUUUAAUAUUUCUUUUAAGAUUUCAGGUAUGAAUUAUUUUAUGAAAGGAAAAAAAAUUAAUGUCGGAAAAAACUUGGCUCCCAUUUAGAGUUUUAAUUCGACUAACCCUAAAUUUAAUGAGAAUUAAUAUCACUAUCAAAUAGCCGAGGAUCUUAGGGAAAGGAUCUGAUUAUAGAAAAAAGCAAACAAAAAGGUUAUUCCCAAUUAAUCUUCAAAACUGCACUUUUCAAAGGAUUGAUAUAUGUUUAAACCGACCAAGCAUCGAAUCUGCAAACUAAGAUUGAAUUUCGUACAUCACAGAAAUAUAUAUUUGUUUUUAUUUUUUAAAAUUUUAUAUUAAUAUGAGAUGUUUAAAUAUUUAUAUUUAAUCGUCCAAUAAUUUAUAUAUAUAAUUAACCUUUAUACAAGGAUUAAAAGAAGAUGAGAUUAUGCUUUAUGGUCCAAUCACAAAACAUUAAGUAGUUAACUGGUUUUGUUAAGGAGAUAAUGGAGGUAAAUUUUUUUAUUUAUAUGACACGGUUUUCGGAUGCGAUGCAUUAGAUAAGCUUCAUACAUGCCAACACGUGCCCUCUAAGUGUGUGUUUGCUUGUAUGAUUAUGCAAACCCAUCAUGUGCGAACUCAUAUAAGUGAAAUGUACAGACUGUCACUAUUGAAACAAAAAGGAUUGGAUCGGUCCUAGUUGAAACACCAUAACAAUACCAAUUAACAUCAGCUAAUGGACAUAAAGAAUCCUAGCUAGAGAGGAGGAUUCGAUUCAAAGUUGCACUCUUUUAGUUCACAACUCUUCUUUUACCUCUAAUUUCAGCAAAAUCAUGCACCAUCCUAACCUUGCAACUUAGGCCAUUCUUCAAUCGGUUCGGUUUUAUAUUUUCUUUUUUAAAAAUAACACAAAUCGUUACUCAAAUUAAGUUGGAUAGGAUGGAAUUAUUUGAGUAUUUGAGUCCAAAUAUAUUUAAAUAAAGAUUUAAAUCACGAUUUAUUUUUUUGUUUUAAUUUAAUAUCUAAACUAUCAUUUUUCAUUUCAUUUUAUUUAAAAAAUUACUCACAUUCAAUAAAAAUGCGACAUGUAUCAUAUAAUCAUGAUAUAAACUCGUUAAAAUAUAAUUAUCGAAUUAUUAAUAAGAUCUUGACCUAAUUACAAAAUUUAAAAUUUAAGUUCGAAUCUCGUCAUAUCCAGACAUCAAAAUACUACACACCUGUCCCCAUUGAAUUGGAAACAGAACAUUAAUGCCACCAAAUUGAAUAGAAUAAUAAGAAGUUGAUUUCAAAGUUUUGAAUCUCAUUGUUGCCUUUUUCCUUUCGGUAAGAUCUCAAUCUCCAUAAAUAAUAUUUGCUCCCUUCUUUUUUCAACCUAUAGGUGUAACACAAUUUGUGCUUGUCAAUUGGCAUAUUCAAAUUUUACUUUUUCCUUUUAAUAUGUUCAUUACUGUGUUACUUUUCCCCCCUAAGGAGGAAAUUUGAAACUUCCAGAAAUUAAUUUCAUUCAUCAAAAGAAACUCAAAACAGGCAAAAAAAUGAAAAGAAUAGAUUCUUUAAUGUCUCCCUAGUUUGUUCCUUUGUUUUUCCCUUUCGGUGCCACCACGUCAAUUUAUUAGGUUACUUAGGUUUUAAAUUUUAAUUCACGAAGUGUGAGUUUGAAUAAACAGUGCGUCGAUGUGUUUACUUAUAGUUAGUGUAAAAAUAGCGGUGAUGGUGAGGACGAUACUGUAGUGUGUGACAAGAAAUAAGUUAAACACACCACACCGCUCAUCCAAAGAGGUACUGAAUCGAAUACAUAAAUAGAGUAAGAUAUAAAAUCACACAUAUUUAAAUUAACAUUUAUAUAAUUUUUGUAAUUAAAUAGAUUAGUAUCAAUACAUGCCUAAACCGGACAUGGUGAAUACAAGUACUACAACGAACGAAAAAUAAAAAGAAAUACAUGCACAUGAUAAGAUUAAAGAUCAUUUUAAUUUGGUUUUAAGUUUAUACACAAAUUUUUAUUUUUAUUUAAUUCUACGAAUAAAAUUUUGAUUUUAAUUCAAUCAAAUAUAUAUUAAAUUCAUUAAAUAAAUUCAGUUAUCUUUAUUUUGAGAAGAAUGUAAAAAUGAUAUCAUGUCAACAAUAAUGUCUUUUGAUGCAAUGUUUUAAAUAGGAAGAUAAAUGCGCUUGAAUCCAUGUCUUCCUACACUAAUAACAAUGCCGAUACCAACCGAGCUAAAACUUAAUCGGCAUGCCAGUAAUAAUGUUAAUUGUAUAUAAAACCAAUAUAAAAAUUAAUCACAUUUUAUCAUAGUUUAUUCAUAUUUAAAUAAUUUAAUAUAAAGAUGUAUUAAAUAUAAUUAAUUUAAAUUUUUAAUUACCUUUUAAAGAUAUAUUAAUCAUCUAAAUCCUAACUUUUAUAUUUAUAUUUAGUGGAAAAACAUUUUUAACAAUUCUUUUGACUCCAAAGGUAAAGUUUUCUCUAUUACUCCUUGAAAAGUAAUUUUGAUCUCACUAUAAAAAUGAUAUUGUCUUUUUUAUGUUAUUUAUAUAAACUCUAUAAAAAAAUUAAAUCGAAAAUAAAUCCUAAAAAAAAAAAACUCACACUUGGUAUAUCUAUCUAUCUAUUUAUUAUAAUAAAGUCUCUGACUGAGUUAGUGUCACCCAUUAAUCGAAUUUUAAUUUUGAGAAAUUACUAAAAACUUAUAUCUGUACAAAGUAAGUUAUAUUUUUAUGAAGAUAUUUUUUUUAUCUUUUUUAUAUUUUCAUAAAUCAAUAAAAAUUUACAUAUUAUAAGAUUUGAACCAAUUACACUAUGAAUAUCAAACAUUCAAUUUGAUACAAACCGUUAAUAUGGAAGUCAUUAGGGAUAUUAAACAAUCCUUUUUAAAGGGGUCCAAUUUUGCUUUGAUAAGGCGCAUUAUUCAACUCUUAAGAAAGGAGGCAAAAUAGCCCAUUGAUUAGGUUCCUAGAGAAUAUAACAUGGAAGCUGAUCAAAUUACUAAGUUGGCUUUUGAUAGAGAGGAAGGUGUAUAGUUAUAUGUAGAUUCUCCUCUAGUAUUUUUCUAAAUUUUUUUGUAUUAAUACUUUUUAUUCACCAAAAAAAUAUAUUCAAAUUUACCAUUUCAAUCAAGACAUCAUUUUUAUACCAUUAAUAAUGUGUUAGACUAAAUUGGUAUCACGGUCAAUCAAAUAUUAACCUAAUCGUAAAAUUACCAAAAAUCACUUAUUUUUACAAAAAUCACUUAAUCUAAUUACUUGUAAUUUUGUGAAUGUAUUAUAAUAUAGAGUAUAUGAAUCUCACUUUUAGUGAGGAAAACGCGGGGAAGUUGGUCAUAAACAGUGAAUAGAUUGCCAAAGUUAGCCCUCUCCAACUGCUAGAAUCCCCUCUCUCCCCUCGUUUCCCUUUAUCCGUUUAAACAACUACACUUUCUCCUCCCUCUUCAUUUAUAUAUAUAUAUAUAUAUAUAUAUAACUGCCUCUCUACUCCCUUUCAUCUCCGACCAACCAAAACAAAAGAAAUACCUAUAAAGAAGAAGCAAAAUUGAUGUGUACUACGAGAACCAAGAGAUGGAUGUUAUUCAAGAGGCUGAUGAAGAAAGAGUUAUGGAGAUGGAAGUUUUUGGGGUCUGCUUUCAAGUGGAAGAAGAUGCCAUCCCUAAACAUUCACCUUUCUUUCAUUGAUGAUGUGCUUUUCAAGAUUGCCUCUGUUUUAGAGGCUAUUUUCUUGGUCUCCACUCUCUGUUUCUUCUAUCUUUGUUGCGGCUGUCAUUUUUGACAAACCCCACAUCUAUGUGUGUACUAUGUAUUUAUUUAUUUUUCCUUUUGGGGUUGUAGUAAGAAACAUUCUGGAUUCUGAGUUCUAACAUGGGUUUCUGAGAAGGGAAAGUGUUUUUCAUGGCGAAAAGAAAAAGCUUUGAAUUCCAGGACUUUGUUGAAGGGUGGUAAAAAUGUAGGGAAGAAACAGGGCAAACUUUAGUUUCUUCAUGUAUAAAGUUGGUAGUAAAAUUGAACUUAGCUUUAAUUUGAACAUAUAUGCUCUCUUGUUUACAUUUUCCCCUUCAUUUUGUUGUUUAAAGUUUGAUGAGUUUGGUUCUCCUCUUUGGCACCCAUACAUGAUUGUGUGUUGUUGAAUCGAGUAGGACAUUCUUAAACAAAAUUUCUUGUGUUUGUUAAAGGACUGGAGUUCAAAUAUAUGUAGUAAAUAUCAGACUGCGUUAGAGCAAAAGAUCCUUAGUUGUUAUCAAUGGCAAUACCAACCAAAUUAAGACAAAAGAAAUGGGACAAGGCAAAGGCUAGGAACGGAAUUGGUAUAGCUAUAUAGCUACUUUUGCUCGAUAUAUAGAUAGAAACAGCAACAGGAAAUAAAUAAGCCUUCUUGCACGUGCAAUGAAGUGGCUUUGAGUCUCUUCUUAGGCCAGCCCCAAAGGUUAAACACUUUCACUGAUGGUAAUAUUUUCCCCACUGAAUAUACGACAUGACAGACAUCAUUAAUGAACACUGUUUUGCUCUGCUGCUAUUAAGUGGCCUUUGUUUUUGUUUUUGUUCUUUCCACUGUUUUGAGCUUGAAGAUGAUAGCCAAAAACAGCUAGUUCUGCUUUUUAGGGAUAUGAGCAGGUAAGGCUUUACGUGUUAAAAGACCAAUAGUCAGUGAUUGAAGGCAAAGCAAAAGCCAAUUAUGAUAUUCAGUCGCAGCUUUUAUAUUUUUCAGGAAAGAUUUGGGGGACUUCGAGGUAACGUGUGAAGAUGAUGAAGGAAGUGUAUUGAUUUGGAUUUUUGGAGUUAGUGUGUCGUGAUUAUAUUUUCUUUUUAUUUUCAAUUACUAAACGAUAAUAUAUAUGGGUAAAUUUCACUCAAAUCACUAAACUAUUAGUAAGUUCACAUUUUAGUCAUUUAACUUUAAAAAAUUAUAAAAUAAACUUUUUAUUUUGUCAUUAAACUAUUUGAAACUUUUUAUUUAAGUCACAGGAUUGUUAAUUUUUGUUUAAAAGUUUGAUUAGUGAGCUCCAAGCGACAAUUUGACGAUUAGUACGAUGGAUCAAUGCCCAUUAAUGACGAUUUUAGUUAGUGAAUUCGUGAUGUUUAAAAUUAUUUUAUAAAAAAAUUAAAUUGUAGAAGAGAAUGGGAAAGUAAGCUUUCGUGAAUAGAGAAUGACAUACAACAAUAAUUUUAAUAGUCCAAUAACUUAAACAAAAUUUUCGAAUAAUUUUAUGACUAUUUUGUAAUUUUUAAAAAUUUAGUAUCCAAAAUAUAAAUUUACUAAUAAUUUAGUAAUUUGAUGUAGUUUACCCUCUCUCUCUAUAUAUAUAACCAGUUUCAGCAAGUUAAUAUGACAAGUCAGAGUUAGCUGUAAUGUUAAGACGGCAACAGAGACAAUAAAUUUUCUUUGAUUUUUUUUUCUUUUUUCGGGUUCAAUGAUGCAAGAAAUUUUCAUCUGCAAUGGAUAAAUAGAGUGAAUGUUUACUAAUAAUUUCGGCUAAAUAUAUGUUGAUAUUUUUUUAAUUAGUUAAACGUGUUGAUUUUAGAAAGAAAGUGAGAAAACGUGUUAAUUGAUGAAAGUUUGUUUAGUUAAACAUGUUUUUAUACGCUCUUCGAAAUUAACCUAUAUUUUUAAAUAUCGAGAAAAUUUCGACAUAUUUAACUUAUUUAGCCAAUAAUUUCUCCCACUGUACUGAUAAUUUAAGCUAUACUGCAUUAUAUAUAUAUAUUUCAAUGUUUCAAAACAAUUUCCCCUUGUAUUUACACCAUUAUUUCUUCCUCUCUUUUUUUUUUUAAAUCUUUUUAAGGAAAAUUGUAGAUAAACAUAAUAUGAGGAUGAGUUUCAUCUUGAUAAAACAUUGAAAAGUUUUAUUCAAACUGAUUAUGACAUAUAGGUGAAAUUUUUUUUUAAAUGUAUAUAUUUAUUAAAAUUUUAUAUAAAAUCCACAUGAAAUUUUAGUUGGAAUUUUAAAGUUAAAAAGGUGUAGAAAUUAUAGGUUAAAAUAUGUUGUUAGUCUUUAUACUUUAAAAGUUAAAAAAUUUAAAUUUUUUUUCUAAUUUAAAAAUUUGUGGUUGUUGUUAGUUUCUACCAAAAUUUGCCUACUAAACAUGUUUAUUUCCUGUCAUGUCAUAUGAUAAUAGCUCUAACCGAAAUUCCAUUUUGAUAAAUUUUUACAAAAAUACUUACGAUUUUAAUGAAUGGACUGAUAUUUUUAAAUCAAUAAAGUAGAAGGAAAUAAUUUUCAACAUUUAAAGUAAAGGGAUUAAAUCUUAAAAUCUAUACAAGUAUAGAGACUAACAAUAUAUUUAGAGCUACAACAUUGAUUCUGUAUAAAAAUGAAAAGACGAAAACACUUACAUAAUAAUAUAGUAAUUUUCUUUGUAAAAACAAUGCGUUUUAAAUUAUUUAAUAAAAAAUUUUAAAUAUAGUAUAAAUUUAAUAUUUAUCUUCAUAAUUUUUACAUCAUACAACACUUAUCAUUUAAUGAUAAUGUUAAUAUUAUUAUUUUUUAAAUAUUCUAAAUAAAUUAUCACUUCAUUUCUAUUAAAAAUAAAUUAUUCAAAUUAUUAUAUUUAUUUUUUAUCGAAAAAUAUGAAAACGAAGAUUUACUAAUAUUAUAAACAUUUACUUUAAAAAAAACUAAUAUUAUAAACAUUUUUAUAAUAUAAAUUCAAUACUAAAAAUGAAAUAAUAAAAAUUUCAAUAUUUAUUUAUUUUUAGUUUUUCAAAAUAACAAAGUAUCUUUAAAAAAAAGCCAGCAAAGAGUAGGAUAUUUUACAACCCUUUUUGCCUUAGCCCUGAAGUAGCCAUCAAUCACCAUACUAUGAUUUGAACUUAGGGUUUGUUUUAAUUGGCCUGCUAGCAACCUUCCAAUUUCCAAAUAGCAAUUUGCCAUUUGUCUUCUGUAUUAAAAUUAAAGAAAAUGAGCCAAUCUGACUUUUAUUCUAUAAAGAAAACAAAAACAGAAAAAAAGGCAUCAAAUUUCAUGAAUAUUUACUUGAUAAAUAGUCAGAUUAACAUUCAAGUCUGCUUGACAAUAAUAUAUAUGUAAGAACAAUCUCCAAGCAGUGAUUUACACAAAAAUGAUACAGGGAUGAACAUAUUUGCCUACAUUAACAUGCUACUCAUAUAAGUCAUAAUUAAACCACUACAUCUAUGCAUUUCCUGGUACAACAACGCCUAAGGUUUAUAUAUAUUUAUUCAUCAAACUCCGAAUCAUCUUCGGUUUCUUCAUCUUCGCCACUUUCCUGCAAAAUCGAAAAACUUUUAAUGUAUUUGCAGCUGUUUCACUAUUGAAGACUUCCUUCUGAGAUAAAUUUUAGUAGAAAAACUUCAAGCAAGUUUACCUUUCUUUUAAUGUAUUCCGCCAUGGCUCUGUCAAACUCUGCUCGUUUCCCGGUUGCGAUAUCGUAAUAUUUAACUUUCUCCUGUUGAAGACAAGUUGAAAUUAGUAUGUCAGACAACUUAUGAAGUCCUUUAGUUUCUAUUUAUAUGUGCAUCAUAUAUAGGCUUCAAGUCCAAAUGGGGGAAUAUGAUGAAUCAACCCUUGAGACAUUCGGCUUCCUCGGCAUGCACUAAUAUUGAUUGCCGUAUUAUUUCUAUACAUGCCACUUCUGCACCCCUAGUUAAUAAGCCAAUAACAAGAAUUGGAACAAUUUUAUCACCAAAUGAUAAUAAUAUUCGAUAUCAAAACUAUUUUCUUCAUCCUUAUGCAAAUCCAUGAACAGAUGAUGUACGUGCACCUUGUAUAUAAAUAGAACUUUAAGUAUGCUUUGAUGAACCAAUGUCACCCAUGACCACGGCCAAGGAUUUUAGCUAACAAGAGGCUAAACAUCAUUAUGGAUAUUCCUUGGCUCUCGGAUUCAAAUAAACAUGUCUUGACCAACUAAAUCUUACAAGCAUAUAAUCAAGUUAUCAUAACAAUAGCAUAUGCUAAUUAUAUGAAUCCGUAAGAAACACGGAAUUGGCACAAACCUCGUAUGUCAUUGUCUUCCACUUCUCACCACAUGCCUUCCCAAUCUGAAACAAUAUCAGGGAGGAUUCGUUAACAUAUACGUUAAAUACACAGAGAUUCGUUUUCUAAAAUAAGAUUUUGUGUUUUUAAACCAUAACAUACAUCGCGCAUUGACUUGAUAUCCGGAUUCUGCUCUUGAAAAUCCUUACGAAAAUCCUCCCUUGAGUAUAAGAAAAUGAAAAAAUCUGUUAGUUUAAUGUCUCUCACAGGACAUUCAAUUUCUGCAACAAAACUAGCAGGCAAAAUCCUUUGAUAUAAGAACCAAAGCUCACUUUCCAGAACACAGACACAGACACAUACAUAUAUAUAUGUAUAUAUAUAUUGCAUAUACAUUUGCUCCAUUACAGGCAAGGAAACACAAUCCAUUUGCAAGCCUAAAAAACCAACUCAAAAUUUUGCAUAAAAAAGACAGUCAAGAAAUAAGCAGAUAGAUUUUAGCUCUUACACGACAAGGGCACAAGAAUAAAAGCAUGAAAUUUCCAAACAGGAGAAUGUUAUAAUCAACAAAAUGUUAACCAAUACUAUGAACAAAAAAUUAUUAAUAAGCAAUACUCACAAGAAGUAAAAGAAAGCAGUGGGGGGUUUCUUAGGCAUUUUAGCAUCGAUUUUUGUUUUCUUCUUCAGCUUCGAUUUGGGUCUUGACUUCGACUUGGGUCUCUUUUCUCUCUCGCUAACAACACUCUCUUCAGCUGUCUUCUUCAUUUUCUCACUUGAUUUUACCCUUAACGCCAUUUGACUAACAAUUUUUUUUCCAAGCAAAAGUGUCUAUUGUUAACCCCCAAAAUUCCUUACAAGCAAAACAAACUAAGAAAGCCAUAAUUUAUUCUGCAAAAAAUACUAUAAAACAAAGGGGUAAGAGAGAAAUACUGAUUGGAGGCUGUUGAUGGGUUCUUAGCGGAAGUAACGGAGGUUGAAGACGAACGAUCAUUUUUCGACUUUGAAGCUUUCUUCGCCAUUUUUUUUCUCCUUUCUAUUUAUAAGACGGGUAGGAGAUGGAGACAAAGACCCACAGCUUGAGCUUUGCUUAGUGUUGGCUGGCUCUCACCAGUGAAGCAGUUGCCACCACAACUCGACUGUUUCCGGUGGGAAGGAGCUGGGAUUUGGACUUCCACGGGUGAGGGUCAGUGCCAAAUUGCUAAUGUAUUGCUCUCAGAGAUUAAGGCUUGUAGUAGUGGUAAUUACUUGGGUUUUUGGUAGCCCUACGACUAGCCCAACCUCAAUGCAAUAACUAUAUUAGCCCAUUGCUUACUUCAAAUUCUACAAAUACAAGGAUAAAAGAAGAAUUCAUACAAUGAUCCAACUCAUGACAGCCAUGAAUCUCAAAAUUAUAUAUAAAUUUUAAUUUAAUGUGUUAAUUUAUAAAAUUUAAUUUUAUUAUUAAAUAAAUAUUUAUUGAGAUCAAUAUAAAUUUAAUGCACUUUAAAAUUUAAAAUAUUCAUUAUAUCCACAUCAUAUGAAUAAUCAUAAUAAUUAAAAUAAAUAAUCAUUUUAAGUUCAAAAUUUAAGAUUUUUUAUGAAAUAAAAUAACAUAUGAUUUUCUUAAAUUAUAAUAUUGACAAAAGUAAUAAAACAUAUAGUUUUAUCGAGUUAUUUUUUUAUACAAUUAUGAAGUUUUUUUAAUAUAUAUUAGAAAUCUCAUCACAUACGUAUACGUAUGAAAAUUUAUAGAUUUAAAAUACAAAUGCCUAUUUAAAAGUAAUAUACAGUAUACAAUGAAAUAUAUAGUUUGAAUCUAAUUGAUCAUAAUAAUACAUGAAAUAUGUAUGAUAUUAAAAUAAAAAAUUAGAUUAAAUUAUGAGUAAAACAAAAUUUAAACACAUAAAUACAUCAUAUAAACAAUACUAAAUGAGGUACAGUUAUUUAACAUGAUUUUGUCAUCAAUUAUGAGUUAGUGUCGAGCUGACUUGUAACACCAACUUAAUGAACAAUAUUAUUAAUAUUAAAAUUUCUAUCACUUAUGUAUGUAUGUGGAAACCAUAGAUUUAAAAUAAAAAUGUUUGUUUAAAAGUAAUAAACAAUGAAACGUAUGGUUUGAAACUAAUUAUACAACUAACGUAAAUAAUAAUUUGUGUAGAUUAAAACAAAAAUAUAUAAAAUACAUUAAAAUGAAGUUUUGGUUGAGUGAUGAAUAUAAUGUUUAAGUAAUUUAAUUGGUGCAGGUGAUAAAUAAAUAAAUUAUUUAAUAAAUAAUAAUACAACACUUUUUGUUUUUUAAAUAUAUUUUAAAAUAAGAAUAAUAUUUGAUGCACUGUUAAUGGAGAUUUUAGACUCCAUAAGUAAGGUCAAUGGGGUAACCAGUGUCCUAUGGGGUACAAUAAAAUAUUUAAAAAAAAUAACAAAUUUUUAAGACUACUUGUAGAAUAAAAACUAUCACUUUUAAAGGAAAAUAUUUGGUAUAUUGUUAAUGAAAUUUUUAGACCAUAUAGGAAUCGAAAAUUGUCCACCAAAAUAUUAGAAAAACACACGUGACGAUAAAAUAACUUUUAGUUUAAAUUUACAAAAUAAAAGCGGAGGGAAGUUUUCGCUGCUCUGUGAAACCAGCCUCACGCUUUGUCUUCCACUCUAGGAGCAACGAGACCCAAAGAUUUCGCUCAAGACUCGUAACCCAACUCCUUGCUUGGAAUGGGCGUGCCAGAAUUCAGUCACUACGGUUCCGACUCAAUGAGUGGACCCAUAGUCCAACCGCCUUAAUGCCCCCACGCGGGUCACAAGCUGGCGUUACCCGACUCGGCGAACUAACAUCAUCUUAACCUGGGUUUUAAAUACUUGUCGUUCUAUUUAUUAUACCGAUGUGGGAGUUUCUUCAUUUCACGUGCAUCGUGACCGAGUUGGUGAUUUUUAGGUGUUAUCCGGAUAGUAAAAUCACUGUUUUACUCAAAAUCGAUGAUUUCCAAAUAUCAAAUACGUUCAUCUAAAUUGAUAAACCGACUAAUUACAUAAUACCAAUGAAAACAAUCGAUCUGGACAGACCCCUCUCUUAGCUACCAUAAUCACACACAAUACAGAAUUUGCUUUUGUUCUUUUUGUCUAUACAAAGUACCAUAGCUACUGGCUUUCAUCAAGUACAUUGUUGAACAUUGAACAUUACUUUAGAAUCGAUUCCUAUUAACCAUUAUUUCUUUUGAAAUUUAAACACUGUAAAAGUCUUUUCCAUAACCCUAGAGCUAUAGGGUAUGGUACAACUUGUACAAUAUGUACUCUAAGAGAGCCAUCUCCUUGAACGUGACUCGAACUCGGUGAUAAGAGUCAAAUAUAAUGAUGUUUCCCCUACGAAUUUUUCAUGUUGGAAUGUAUAAGAUCCAUAUAUUUUGAGAGAAUGAAAAAUUGGAAUAACAUAGUAUGCCAAGGUACAAUAUGUACAAUCCUUUCUCCAUCUCACUUGCUUCCAAGUUUUUUUCUCUAGUUUUUAUUUUAUUUUCUUAAUAAUCGGGGAAUAGGAAUAAGAUUGCUUCAUGUUUACAACAUAUAAUGCUCUUGUCACUGGGCAAAGACGUUAUUGGCGUAAUUGCACAUUAGACACAAAUACAUUAUAUGAAGUUACACUUGAAAAUAUAAUAUUUAGUGUUGUUUCUAGAUUUUAUUAAAUAAAUAUUAACGGUUAUAUCCAACUCUUACACCUAUUAAUUUUAUAUAUAUGGUAGUGGAUACCAAUUCAUUGCAAAAUGAAAGUAAAUUGUGAUUGAAUUAAGUCAUGUAAUUAAUCAAAUAAAUAAAUGGUUAGAAGAAGUGGGAGUAGAUUUUUUUUUUUUAAGUAUCUAGAUCAAGUUCGAAUCUAAAUAUUAUCUCGACAUGAAUAAAACUAUAUUUAAACCAUAAAACGGAUGAAGAUACUUGUAAUUACAAAAAAGAAGAAGAAGAAGUAAAAUUGUAGCUAAAAUGUUAUUAUAAAAGGUUCACCUUUCAACACCUUAGAGAGUUGCUGAAAAGUGCAAUAAUUUAACAAAUAUACCAUAACUUUAAAAAUAGAUUUGACAGAAAUGGUAAUAUUUAAAAAAGGUAAAAUUAUGAUGUGUAGGGGUUGAAAUCUAGUAUAUAUUUUCUAAAUUUAUAUAAAAUAUAAAAAGAAAAAAAUUUAAAAAUAAAUAUUAUUUUCUAUAAAUAAUAAGUUUUAGUAAAUUUUCAAUUCAACUCACAUUGAUUAAUGAUCCAAUCCAAUCAAAAAAUUAAAUAAUAGUGUACAUAAAUAAAAUAUGUUGCAUAUAAAUCAGGUUGUACUUGGUAACUAAUCCUCAGGGUUCAGGACCACCACAACUUAAAAAUUGGAAAAAGAGAAAUUCGACUCCACUGGGGAUCGAACCCAGAAUCUCUGGUUCCGUAGACCAGCGCCUUAUCCAUUGGGUCAUGGAGUCGUAUGUACGAAAUUUCUUAUAUUAUUAUUUUCUUGAUAAGCAAUUUUCCUCGUCUUCCUCUCCUGGCCUGGUUCCCGCGCUCUUCCUAGCAGCGGCAACUUAAAAAAAUGAAAAGUCGACUCCACUGGGGAUCGAACCCAGAAUCUCUGGUUCCGUAGACCAGCGCCUUAUCCAUUGGGCCAUGGAGUCACGCGAUCAGGUUAUCAUAUUCAAAUUAUUUGUUGAUACAUAAUUUCCGUCAUCUUCCUCUCUCUCCCUGGUUCUCGCAAUUACCACGCUCUUAGUAGAUAUGAAGGAAAAAGGGGGGGUGGGGUGGGGAAGACGGCAUCAUUGCCAUGGCUUUGGUCUUCUUUUCAAAGUGAAAGGAAGGGAAUCUAAGAAAUAACCUAAAAGAUGAAAAUGGAAAUGAAAGUCAAUUUUAAGUAACAGAAAAAUCCUAACUUGUCGCCGUCUGUGGGAAUCAAACCCACGACCACGUGGUUAAAAGCCACGCGCUCUACCAGCUGAGCUAAGACCGCUACGGUUUAAUAGUUUCUUGAGUACCCUUUUUGAGUAUUAAAGCUUAAUUUCGGUAAAAGUGAAAUUUUAUCUGCUAGUAUACAUCUUGCAAUUUAAGUUGCAAGAAAUUCAUGAUUAUCGUGGGAAAAUUACCUAUCAAAUACUUAGGGAUGUCUUAGAUUGCAAGGAAAUUAUCUAUUAGAGAUUGUGCCCGCAUGAUUGAAAAUAGUGUGGGGAGAGUGAAUGGGCGAAUUGCAAGAAUGCUUUCUUAUGCUGGCUGAGUCGAGUUGGUACAAGCAAUGCUCUUGCAUAGACGAAAUUAUUAGGCUAGGCAUUUUAUUCUGCCAAACGUUGUGAUUGUAAGAGUUAGUCAAAUUUGUAUGAAAUUUUUGUGGAAAGGCGAUGCUGAAAAAGUUCAAGGUGCUAAGGUAGGUUUGUAAACCAAAGAGCGAAGGGGGUCUCGGACAUGCAAAGUUGGAACAAGGCUUGUGUCAUACAACAAAUUUGGUCGGUAUUGUUUCAAGUUGGUUCUCUGUGGAUAGCUUAGAUAAACACUUGUAUUUUAAAGGGUCGAUAUUUUCUGCAGGAUCAACUAGCUGCCAAUGGUAGUUGUAGUUGGAGUUGGAUGAAGCCAGUAGGAAUACGAAGUGAGGCUCUUCAUAUCUUUCGAUGAGCAAAUCGGAUGGGGCAAGGCACAAUAUAUCAUAUCAGUAAAGUUUGGAACCAAGGAGUAGAAUUACCGACUACACUGUUUGUACCCUAAAACAUUCAUUUAUCACUUGGUUGGAUACGAGUGAUCGGUUGGGUGCUAAAGACAAAUUAUGAGCCUGGGGAUUGAAUUACUAUGCUGGCUGCGUGUUAUGCCAGAUUGGGUAGGAAACUGAAGAUCAUUUAUUCGUGGAGUGCUUUUAUGCAGAGAGAGUUUGGAAAGUGUGUCCUACAGUUAUGUGGCCUUCAAAGGGAACCUGAAAUCUGGGAACAGGAGCAGCGUUGGCUAAUUACAAAGCUGAAAGGUAAAACUCUAUUUAUGAUCAUUCUUAAUUUGGCAUGGAAUGCCCGUUUAUAUUGGGUUUGGAAUGAAAGAACCAACAGGUUUUUUUUAAGGUCAGUGGAGAAACGAAUCUGGGUUGCUUGGAAAAAUUAAGGAAGGUGUUCGAAUUCAUUUUCAAACACUAGAAUGAAUACAAAGGAAUCUGUAAAAUAUUGAUAUUUGUAUAACUUGGGAGAUUAGGUGUUUGUUAACACAUGGCAUCAUGAAAAACUACUUGAGAAGUACUCACAUAUGGUUUUCCACCUCUUACUGUUUGGCUGGUGACUGGGUGGAUCACCAUCAAGAUAGACCACUCGCUUUUAACACACUUAUCUUUAAGAGGGACUAUGAGUAUGGCAACCUCAUACUAUCUCAACAAUAGGAAUAUUAGGCAACCUCAUACUAUCUCAACAAUAGGAAUAUUAGAGAAAGUACCACACUUGACGACAAUUAAUGUAUAACCAACUUGUCAUCAUAUUAAGCACACGUUCACCAUCAGCCUGAGAAUGUCGAUGACAUGACAUAAGUGGACAAAGAAUCCCUUGACAUUUAAUAAUAGAGGAACUAGUUUAAUUCUUUUUAAUAGUACAAGAAUAAAAUUUACCCAUUUAAUAAUAGGACUAAUUUGAUCUAAUACCUAUAUUACAGGGACUUGGUUUAAGUUAUUUGAUUGACUUUUUUUUUCUCAAAACAACACCAUUAGAAUUUGGUUUACAUGUAAUUAUUUUAAAGAUUUCACAUAAACAAUUAAUAGUAAUUAAUAGUGUAACAAUUUGGACUAAUUAACAAAAUUAUAAAAAUACGAGACCUAAUUUUUUCUAAAUUAAAGGAUAUAAAUUAAAUCAUAAAAUUAAUACAGUACAAGGAUCAAAAUAUAAUUCGACCAAAAUAUAGAUAUUUGUGAUAAAAAGGAAAAAAAGCCCGACUGAAACUGGAUCAGUUUCCGUUUACCAGAGCCUUACAAAUUGGGCCAUAGACUCAUUAUAAAAGGACUAUCUAUCCAUGCUUAAUUCCCGCCAAAGCAGUCAUCUUCUCUCCUUUUCCCGCCAAAACCAUUCUCACUUUCUAGUAGAACAGAAGAGAAUUAAAACAAGACGAAAAAGUGGCCUUCAUUUACAAUAGCGUUUGGUGUUUUCUUCCAAAACUUACAGUGUAGAGUUCUGGCUGAAAGAGAAAAGAAAAAUGGAGUUGGGGGCUCAAGAUUAUGCUGAUAGGAAGAAAGAUAUCAGCCAAUUCUUGUCUCAGGAUGUCUGUUAAUCCAUCCAUUCUAUGAUAUAUAUUCCUAUGUGUUAAUGUUAAUUUACCUUUUUUUUUUGUAAUUGAUUGAUCAGAUUUACCAAGAUGAAAUCAAGGCUAUGAUAAAUCACAAGCGCCGCCGUCUCAUCAUCAACAUUUCCGAUCUCCACUCUUUCAACAACUUGGCUCCUAGGUUCUCUCUAAUUUCUUAUUUUUUCCCUCUAUUUUGAGCGUUGAUUGAAUUAAAGCUCAUUUGGGUUUCUGUUUAUUGUUCUGGGUUUUAGGAUUCUGAAGAACCCGAGUGAAUUUAUGCAACCAUUUUGCGAUGCGGUGACGGAAGCUGCUAAAGGUAUCGACCCAAAGUACUUGAAAGAAGGAGAAGCGCUUCAUGUGGGAUUUGAAGGCCCUUUUGUUUCUCGUCGCGUUACUCCCAGAGAUCUUCUCUCUGAAUUCAUUGGCUCCAUGGUAUGCGUCGUGGGUAUUGUCACCAAAUGUAAGUUCCCCCCCCCCUCUCUUUUUUUUUCUUUAUAAUUUGAAGUAUAAUAAAUGGGUAUCUGUUUGUUCAUAUAAUGCGGUAAAAAUUGAAUUUAGGUUUUUGUAAAAAAGUGGGUACUUGCUUUGAGCUUUGAAAAAUCCCUAACGCUUUUGGGCACUUGUUCAUACUGAAUAAAGUGUUUAUCAGUGUUUUUUCUGUGUUGUGGUCUUCUCUUUACGUAUCUAACAUGAACUUAACCUCCAUUUAGGUUCUCUGGUAAGACCAAAGGUUGUUAAAAGUGUUCAUUUUUGCCCUGCCACUGAGAACUUCACCGUUCGGGAAUAUCGAGACAUCACCUCCAAUAAUGGUUUGCCAACUGGAUCUGUGUAUCCUACUAGGGUAACUUUCCACUGAUCGGAUCUCCUAGUAUUAGUAUGGCUGUUGGAUUAAGCAUUGUCUCAUGAGUAAUAUUAUUUUCAGGAUGAAAAUGGCAACUUAUUGGUGACUGAAUAUGGGUUGUGCCAAUACAAAGAUCACCAGACCUUGUCAAUUCAAGAAGUUCCGGAGAAUGCUGCACCUGGUCAGCUUCCUCGAACUGUGGAUGUCAUAGUUGAGGAUGACCUGGUUGAUUCAUGCAAGCCUGGAGAUCGUGUGGCUAUCGUAGGGCUAUAUAAAGCUCUUCCAGGAAAAAGCAAGGGCAGUGUGAAUGGUGUAUUCAGGUAUCUCUUAUGCAGUGCAUUUUUUAAAUCUUCUUUUGUUCUUUGGUCUUUUUUCUGUCUACAGUUGGAUGAGUAAUUUUCUGUUGUAGGACUGUACUCAUAGCUAAUAAUGUCUCUCUGCUCAACAAAGAGGCCAAUGCACCAAUCUAUAGUCCCGAGGACCUUAAGAAUAUUAAGAAGAUAGCAGAAAGAGAUGACACAUUUGACCUGCUUGGUAAUUCCCUUGCACCUUCCAUAUAUGGGCAUUCGUGGAUAAAGAAAGCUGUGGUUUUACUGAUGCUUGGUGGUGUGGAAAAGAAUUUGAAGAACGGCACUCAUUUACGAGGGUUAGUUCUACUUCAACUGUCUGCGUCUUUGUUGUUAUAUACAGCCUUUGUUAGAUUUGCUAUAAUUUAGAUCCUAAAAUAAGCCAAAUCCUUGCUAUCUUUUAGGGACAUUAACAUGAUGAUGGUUGGAGAUCCAUCUGUUGCAAAAUCCCAACUUUUAAGAGCAAUCAUAAACAUUGCUCCCUUGGCCAUUUCAACCACUGGUCGAGGUUCUUCUGGUGUUGGUUUGACUGCUGCUGUCACAUCUGAUCAAGAAACAGGUAAAGCACUUCAAUUGAUUCUGUCAUUUCGGUUUAAAGUCUUGUUUUUGUUGAUUUUGACUAAAUUAAAUAUCUCUGCGAUCAGGAGAAAGAAGACUGGAAGCAGGUGCAAUGGUCCUUGGUGAUAGAGGUGUUGUUUGCAUUGAUGAGUUUGACAAGAUGAAUGAUCAAGAUCGUGUUGCAAUACAUGAAGUCAUGGAGCAGCAGACUGUAACUAUUGCCAAAGCUGGUAUCCAUGCAUCAUUGAACGCUCGGUGCAGCGUAGUGGCUGCUGCCAAUCCCAUAUAUGGAACUGUAAGUUCAAUUGGUUAGUAAGAUGCAGAUUCACUCCACUAGCAAGGUGGUGAAUUUUGAGUUUAUACUAAUUAUUGGUCAAAAUGCAGUAUGAUCGUUCAUUGACUCCAACAAAAAAUAUUGGACUUCCAGACUCUUUGCUUUCUCGUUUUGAUUUACUCUUUAUUGUAUUGGACCAAAUGGAUGCUGAUAUUGAUCGUCAUAUCUCUGAGCAUGUCUUGAGAAUGCACCGGUUUCGCUCUCCUAUUGAUGGAGGUAAGGCAAAGUGUUUCCUUAUGGUGCUUAUAGACUGGUUGGACAUAUACCUAUUAAGGUAAUUAAUAAUGUAGGCGAGGCAGCUCUUGAUGGAAGUUCAAGAUAUGGAAGAGAAGAUGAAGCUGAUGCUGACUCAUCUGUUUUUGUCAAGUAUAACCGUAUGUUACAUGGGAGAAAAACAGAAAGAGGUCGGAAGCGUGAUACUCUUACGAUAAAGUUUCUGAAAAAGUAUAUCCAUUAUGCAAAACACAGGAUUCAGCCUGAGCUGACUGAUGAGGUUGUGACCAUUCCUUUUCCUUUAUAUUUAUUUAUCCAGUAAUCUAUUAAUAUCGUCCCACUGUUUAAAUCAAUGCUUUCUUCUUCCCCUUUACUCUGUUUUAAUCAAUUCAAAAUUUCUGCAUUGUUAUGCUGCAAUAUCUUCUCUAGAAGAAACCUUGAUGACCUCUCUAACUUUUCUCCCCAAAGAUCAUCAACUAACUUAUCCAGGGCUUACUCUAAAGUAUCUCAUCUGCAGGCUUCAGAACACAUUGCUACAGCUUACGCAGAGCUCAGAAAUGCCAGUUCAAAUGCAAAGGUUUGCUUUUGUAAUCAGCAAAGAAAUACCUUGAUAUACUUGCCUCAGUUAUGCUAAUACUGUCAUUGGUUUUGUAGACUGGCGGAACCCUUCCAAUCACAGCUAGAACCUUGGAAACCAUAAUUCGUCUAUCAACUGCUCAUGCAAAGUUGAAGUUAAGCAGAAAGGUAUUUGGGAUUCCUGACAUGUUCCCAGUAGAUUUUUUUCCCUAAACCUUAUAUUACUCUUUGAAUAUAAUCUAAUUCUUUGGGAUCAAUUGUGACCAAAAUUGUUACAGAGAUUUCAUGUUUAUGUCUUAAAAUUGCAUGUUUGGUCCUUGCUUGUAACUGCUUCAUUAUAUUUCCUUUUUUAUGCAUUUUAUUCAUACUUCUGUUGCAUGAUGAUUUAUCAUGGCAGGUUACAAAAGUUGAUGUUGAAGCUGCUCUGAAAGUUCUAAAUUUUGCUAUUUAUCAUAAAGAAUUGACAGAGAUGGAGGAUCGUGAACAAGAACGGCAAAGAGAAGAAGCAAGGACACACAGAGCGGAUCGUCAAGGGUGAGCAUGGGAUAUGCCUUUAAACAACUUACGGAUUUUAAGUGCCUAUUGCUUAUAAUUUAAAAAUAAAUAUUGCUUAUAAACAAUUGAUUUAUCUUUAUAAUAUAGAUGCUUAUCUUUUUAUAUAAACUUUAUCAGAAAAUUACUAAAUGAUCAAAUUUAUUCUAAUGUUGUUGACCUUCUCUUUUGCUUUAACUAGGCCAACGACCACUGCUAUGGAAGUAGAUGAUCCUCCAAGGGCCCAGCAGCCUACUGCCAUUGGCUCUCUUGAAAGGUCUGAGUCCUAACAAACACUUCAGUUACAAGUUUAGACAUGGCUUUUUCCUUCAACAAUAGCUAUAAUCUAUUGUUGCACAAGUUCACUUUAAAAUAUUUUUUCUACCUAUUUGUUGAUGAAUUUCAGGAUUGAAGCAUUUAAAGCUAUAUUUGGUCAGCAUAUGCGUGUGAACCAUAAGGAUACCAUAUCUAUUUCUGAAGUAGAGAAUGUUGUCAAUGAAGGAGCUGAUGGCCAUUACUCAAGGGCAGAGAUCGUUGCUAUAUUAGAGGUAAUGUUGGUAUAUGGAUUGUUGGAUAGGAAUAAAGUUUUCAUAUUCUUAAAAGAUGAAUGUCCCUGUUUUUCCUCCAUUUUGGUAUAACAUUUUGAAUCUCAUAUCCACUUGUGGUUAACAUGACAAACUUACAUAUUUUUCAGUUCCAACUUACUAAAUUUAAGGAUGCUAUGUACUAACAGUCACUACUUUCACAAUUGUCAGAAGCUGCAAGAUGAUAAUAUAUUGAUGAUAGCCGGUGAAACAGUGCAUAUGAUAGUAUGAGAUGUAAGGAAAGACCUGGAUGGCUUCUUUCAUGCAAUCACUUUACAGCAUUGUGGGAUUGGGGAUGGAUCUAUUGGCAUGAAAUUCUUGGUUUGUACAGCUCCAUGAUUUAUCCUAAAAUUGUCUUAAAAGUGACUGUUGGCUGUACUCUGUAGCAGAUGAAAGGUGAACUGGGGAUGGAUCCCCUCUUGCUCUGCAAGUGAAGAUGCAAAAAUUUGGAUGACAUGAUAAUUCACUAAUGCUUUAAUUAUUUACUUGGAAGGUAUUGUUUUUUUUUGGACUUUAUGUUUUCAAUAGUUAAUAUACUGUGGAUCUAAUUCUAAGCAUCUGCACCCUGAAUUCCUUGUUUUUGUAGUAUUAUACAAGGUAAGCAAACACCAAAAGAUACACUACAAAUCAAGAUUUUAUUAACAUUAUAAUUACUUGAAAAGAAGAAUAAAAAUUUCGGUCUCCAUCCACAAUACCAGUUGCUUGGAAUAAUAAUAAACUCAAAUAAACCAACAGGACAAAUAUUGAGAAAGAAAUUAAAAAGGGUUUAGACCAUAUUCACCAAGGAAUGAAAAGAUAAAUAACAAGGAAUGAAAUUCAAAAGAACCAUGCAGCCAUAGAAGCUAAGGCAGCUACUGCAGCUGGAACACCCAAAGCUGCUCCUGCACUUUCCAUCGGAGAUGGUGCGACGGCCCCUUGAUCUUCCCUCAAAGCUGUGGCUCCAUUGGUGAAAACGGCAAGAACUGUAACGUAGGCAAUCAAAAUCAUGGCCAUUUUGCUACCCUCCAUUGUUCUAAGCAACUCAACUGAGCAAAGCACCCUUUAAAGAUAUCAAAGUGAGAGAUGCUAUUGAAGUUGUGUGCUUUUGAGCUUGACUUUGGAUUGUAGAGAUUUCAAAUGUUUUUAUAAGGGAAGGAUUAUGCUACUAAUCAUGUAUUUGCCAGCUUUUUGUUGGUUUUAACCACUAACCAAAUCAUUUUAAGGCAUUUGUGUGUUGUCUGCUAAUUGUUUUUUGCCUCUCACUCUCUUGUAAACUCUACACCAGCCUGGACUGACUAUAUAAACUAUAAAG